UCCUCACCCCUUAGACUAGGGAUCAGAUAAAACCCUCCCCAAAAAUUAAAAACCUAGCUGCUAAGACACAAAAAAAUGGGACCCCCCCUUCUUGAUAGAAACAGCGCACCCCUCACUCUCACCCUCUAAAAAAUCUGCUCCAUCUCCAACGCCAGCGACCCCCCAUCUCCAAUGCCAGCGACCUCGCUCCAGCCAUACUCCCCUCUUUUCCCUCUUUUCUCCACCUCGCCACAUCUUUCAAAACUGCAGAGAUCUCAGUGAUAUCAAAGCAUCAGAUAAGGCAUGAUUCGACCUUUACACUCAAGGAUCAUGAAGAUCUAGUGGUCAUUUAAACAAAUCCAUUCGAGGUCCAGAGAAUAAAAGUACGAAUGGACUUCAACGACUGAAAAACCAGCGCGAUUCAAGCAUUUCCACCAAGAUCCUACACAACACUUAUUUUCUCUCAAAUCAGUUCUCUUAUAGCGUCCAAAUAAAUUAGCUCAUGCGCAUAACUAUUGAGAUUGAAGAGCUUUUGUUUGCUGCUGUUAUGUACUGGAGCUUGUACAAGCCGUUCUCUUUAGCUAAGAGCUCCAAAGUUCAGUCGACGAGGCCAUUGGUAAAUUCUUUGGUCGAGAGUUGAUUAAUCUCCAAGUUGGUUGUAAUUUAACUCAAAUUCAGUACACAGUUUAUAUUGGUGGUCCUCAUAGAAUACCUUAUAUUUCUAUUGGAGGUUUGGCUUGGCUAUGUCUCAACUUGGAUGCAGAUUUGAGAGCAAAGAUUGAUGCGUGUAACACCCAACAAUUUAGUGACGAGCUCUGUGAAGCUGAAAAAGAUCUUCUAGGCCAAAUUGAGGAGCUAAAAUUUGAAUACCAAUCAUUAGAUCAUGUUCUUGUUGCUGAUGCAAAGGUUGAGGGGGUAUAUAACUGAAUAUGUCAAAAAUAAUAUAGUUUUGGAGUUGGGGCGUGUUGGUUCUCA